rnacentral:tRNA from 1 species
AGCUUAAACAAAGCAUCUCGCUUACACCGAGAAGAUAUCUAUGAAAAUUAGAUCGUUCUGA